ACGGCUCAGUAACACGUGGAUAACCUGCCCAAGGGUCCGGGAUAACCCCGGGAAACUGGGGAUAAUACCGGAUGGAUCACUAGUGCUGGAAUGCUUGGUGGUCGAAAGGUAACGCCUUUGGAUGGGUCUGCGGCGGAUUAGGUUGACGCCGGUGUAACGUACCGGCGUGCCUGUAAUCCGUACGGGUUGUGGGAGCAAGAGCCCGGAGGUGGAUUCUGAGACACGAAUCCAGGCCCUACGGGGCGCAGCAGGCGCGAAAACUCUACAAUGCAGGCAACUGCGAUAGGGGGACAUCGAGUGGCAUCCACCUUGGGUGCCUGUCCAACCGUCUAAAAAACGGUUGUUAGCAAGGGCCGGGUAAGACCGGUGCCAGCCGCCGCGGUAAUACCGGCGGCUCGAGUGGUGGCCGAUAUUAUUGAGUCUAAAGGGUCCGUAGCCGGCUUUGCAAGUCCCCUGGGAAAUCCAGCGGCUUAACCGUUGGGCUUUCAUGGGAUACUACAUUGCUUGGGACUGGGAGAGGUAGGAGGUACUCGGGGGGUAGGGGUGAAAUCCUGUAAUCCUCCGGGGACCACCGGUGGCGAAGGCGUCCUACCAGAACAGGUCCGACGGUGAGGGACGAAAGCUAGGGGCACGAACCGGAUUAGAUACCCGGAUAGUCCUAGCCGUAAACGAUGCCCGCUAGGUGUCACGACGGUCGUGAAUCGUCGUGGUGCCGUAGGGAAGCCGCGAAGCGUGCCACUUGGGAAGUACGGCCGCAAGGCUGAAACUUAAAGGAAUUGGCGGGGGAGCAC
rnacentral:rRNA from 1 species